rnacentral:rRNA from 1 species
GGGUUGUGAGGUUAAGCGACUAAGCGUACACGGUGGAUGCCCUGGCAGUCAGAGGCGAUGAAGGACGUGCUAAUCUGCGAUAAGCGUCGGUAAGGUGAUAUGAACCGUUAUAACCGGCGAUUUCCGAAUGGGGAAACCCAGUGUGAUUCGUCACACUAUCAUUAACUGAAUCCAUAGGUUAAUGAGGCGAACCGGGGGAACUGAAACAUCUAAGUACCCCGAGGAAAAGAAAUCAACCGAGAUUCCCCCAGUAGCGGCGAGCGAACGGGGAGGAGCCCAGAGCCUGAAUCAGUGUGUGUGUUAGUGGAAGCGUCUGGAAAGGCGCGCGAUACAGGGUGACAGCCCCGUACACAAAAAUGCACAUGCUGUGAGCUCGAUGAGUAGGGCGGGACACGUGGUAUCCUGUCUGAAUAUGGGGGGACCAUCCUCCAAGGCUAAAUACUCCUGACUGACCGAUAGUGAACCAGUACCGUGAGGGAAAGGCGAAAAGAACCCCGGCGAGGGGAGUGAAAAAGAACCUGAAACCGUGUACGUACAAGCAGUGGGAGCCUCUUUAUGGGGUGACUGCGUACCUUUUGUAUAAUGGGUCAGCGACUUAUAUUCUGUAGCAAGGUUAACCGAAUAGGGGAGCCGAAGGGAAACCGAGUCUUAACUGGGCGUUAAGUUGCAGGGUAUAGACCCGAAACCCGGUGAUCUAGCCAUGGGCAGGUUGAAGGUUGGGUAACACUAACUGGAGGACCGAACCGACUAAUGUUGAAAAAUUAGCGGAUGACUUGUGGCUGGGGGUGAAAGGCCAAUCAAACCGGGAGAUAGCUGGUUCUCCCCGAAAGCUAUUUAGGUAGCGCCUCGUGAAUUCAUCUCCGGGGGUAGAGCACUGUUUCGGCAAGGGGGUCAUCCCGACUUACCAACCCGAUGCAAACUGCGAAUACCGGAGAAUGUUAUCACGGGAGACACACGGCGGGUGCUAACGUCCGUCGUGAAGAGGGAAACAACCCAGACCGCCAGCUAAGGUCCCAAAGUCAUGGUUAAGUGGGAAACGAUGUGGGAAGGCCCAGACAGCCAGGAUGUUGGCUUAGAAGCAGCCAUCAUUUAAAGAAAGCGUAAUAGCUCACUGGUCGAGUCGGCCUGCGCGGAAGAUGUAACGGGGCUAAACCAUGCACCGAAGCUGCGGCAGCGACGCUUAUGCGUUGUUGGGUAGGGGAGCGUUCUGUAAGCCUGUGAAGGUGUGCUGUGAGGCAUGCUGGAGGUAUCAGAAGUGCGAAUGCUGACAUAAGUAACGAUAAAGCGGGUGAAAAGCCCGCUCGCCGGAAGACCAAGGGUUCCUGUCCAACGUUAAUCGGGGCAGGGUGAGUCGACCCCUAAGGCGAGGCCGAAAGGCGUAGUCGAUGGGAAACAGGUUAAUAUUCCUGUACUUGGUGUUACUGCGAAGGGGGGACGGAGAAGGCUAUGUUGGCCGGGCGACGGUUGUCCCGGUUUAAGCGUGUAGGCUGGUUUUCCAGGCAAAUCCGGAAAAUCAAGGCUGAGGCGUGAUGACGAGGCACUACGGUGCUGAAGCAACAAAUGCCCUGCUUCCAGGAAAAGCCUCUAAGCAUCAGGUAACAUCAAAUCGUACCCCAAACCGACACAGGUGGUCAGGUAGAGAAUACCAAGGCGCUUGAGAGAACUCGGGUGAAGGAACUAGGCAAAAUGGUGCCGUAACUUCGGGAGAAGGCACGCUGAUAUGUAGGUGAAGUCCCUCGCGGAUGGAGCUGAAAUCAGUCGAAGAUACCAGCUGGCUGCAACUGUUUAUUAAAAACACAGCACUGUGCAAACACGAAAGUGGACGUAUACGGUGUGACGCCUGCCCGGUGCCGGAAGGUUAAUUGAUGGGGUCAGCGCAAGCGAAGCUCUUGAUCGAAGCCCCGGUAAACGGCGGCCGUAACUAUAACGGUCCUAAGGUAGCGAAAUUCCUUGUCGGGUAAGUUCCGACCUGCACGAAUGGCGUAAUGAUGGCCAGGCUGUCUCCACCCGAGACUCAGUGAAAUUGAACUCGCUGUGAAGAUGCAGUGUACCCGCGGCAAGACGGAAAGACCCCGUGAACCUUUACUAUAGCUUGACACUGAACAUUGAGCCUUGAUGUGUAGGAUAGGUGGGAGGCUUUGAAGUGUGGACGCCAGUCUGCAUGGAGCCGACCUUGAAAUACCACCCUUUAAUGUUUGAUGUUCUAACGUUGACCCGUAAUCCGGGUUGCGGACAGUGUCUGGUGGGUAGUUUGACUGGGGCGGUCUCCUCCUAAAGAGUAACGGAGGAGCACGAAGGUUGGCUAAUCCUGGUCGGACAUCAGGAGGUUAGUGCAAUGGCAUAAGCCAGCUUGACUGCGAGCGUGACGGCGCGAGCAGGUGCGAAAGCAGGUCAUAGUGAUCCGGUGGUUCUGAAUGGAAGGGCCAUCGCUCAACGGAUAAAAGGUACUCCGGGGAUAACAGGCUGAUACCGCCCAAGAGUUCAUAUCGACGGCGGUGUUUGGCACCUCGAUGUCGGCUCAUCACAUCCUGGGGCUGAAGUAGGUCCCAAGGGUAUGGCUGUUCGCCAUUUAAAGUGGUACGCGAGCUGGGUUUAGAACGUCGUGAGACAGUUCGGUCCCUAUCUGCCGUGGGCGCUGGAGAACUGAGGGGGGCUGCUCCUAGUACGAGAGGACCGGAGUGGACGCAUCACUGGUGUUCGGGUUGUCAUGCCAAUGGCACUGCCCGGUAGCUAAAUGCGGAAGAGAUAAGUGCUGAAAGCAUCUAAGCACGAAACUUGCCCCGAGAUGAGUUCUCCCUGACCCUUUAAGGGUCCUGAAGGAACGUUGAAGACGACGACGUUGAUAGGCCGGGUGUGUAAGCGCAGCGAUGCGUUGAGCUAACCGGUACUAAUGAACCGUGAGGCUUAACCUUACAACGCCGAAGCUGUU